rnacentral:snoRNA from 1 species
AUACCUCCUUUCACUUUGCCAACUGGACUCAUGUCUUUAUUAGUCAUUCAAUUGGGGCAAAGUAAAUAAUCUUUUAAAACUCAGGCAAACAGAGUGUUUGUACUAUAAUCUGUCAGAGGAAAAAAAU